AGAGCGUCCGGCCAGGUAGCACCUGGCCCACGUGCCCGACGUAUCAAAGGGAUUAACUGGGAUCGCACGAGGCCCCCAAAAUCCCGAGGCCCUCGAUCAAGGAAACCAACACACCGUCAUGUAAAAAAAACCAACUCGGCCGAGAAAUCCCGCCCCGGUUCAUCAGCCUGAUCUGAUGCGAGCUGUCGCACGCCCCGAGAAAUCGGCAAUCUGAGCGCCGCCUUCCCUCCUCGUGUCUCGAUCGUUCGCCGCCUCUUCUCCUCCCCCAGAAGUGCCUCACGUCUGAUCUCCCCUCCUCCCCACGGAAUGGCGGAUGGCAGUGGACCAACGUUGAAGGCGGAUCGAGCCUGGCCAUGGCGGCAUGGCGUAUUGACUCCCCCAGGUCUCCUCACUCAUCCACAGCAUGGCAGGGCGUGGUGAUUGAGCUUUGAUUUCUCUCUUCGGGCUUGGGGUUAGGAGGCACAAUCCAGUACACCUCAGCAUCGCGGGAGAGUGGUGCAGCUCGGUUCAUGAUGGCAGGGUGAGGGGUGUAUGCCGAGCCCGAGUGUCGUCCGGUAGCCGAUUUUUUACCAACAAGUGCAAGUGAAAAUAAAAAGUUCAUGCGUGCAACUGGUACCUGCCGUGGAGGACCUCGACGUCGUCCUUGGCGGCGUUGG